GGGGGGAGGCCGGAUCCUGGGCUGUGUCCAGGCGCCCUGUGCUCCAGGGCCUGCGCUGUUGGAUUUGCGCUCCCGCCCCGCAGCCCCCU
rnacentral:pre_miRNA from 1 species